GAAUUAUCAAUCCAAACAAAACUCUCAAAAAUCGCAUUCAGAAAAAUAUCUUGCGAGUUAAACAAUGGUCUAGCUACUCCAGUCUCAACAUCAGCUACCCAUACCACUGGCUUACUACUAUUUCCGUUCUCAUCGACCCGGAUGCUGAAAGCCAGAUGCUUACCGUCAUUGGACCAUGUAACAAAGUUAAUCUUACCACCAUCUGGAAUGCCAGUGAUCUCCUUCUCAGGACUCAAUGUACCAUCAGGCAAUAACUGAUGGAUUCCUAAAC